UCUGGAAUUGACGGCCGUUUACUUCCGUUAGCUGUUAGUAGUUGAUGCUUAACCAUGGUUAAACACUACUUUUCAAUUUCCCCUCUUUCAAUUUUUCAAUGUAGGGUUCAUAGGUUUAGUCGACAAGCGUUUCUAGAGGUGUUCAUGGAACUCGGCGAUUGAAAGCGGCUUUAUAAUGUGUGGCUUAUGGUUGCUAAUUUAGACAUUGGAUACAUUUUUUGGGGGUAGUGGUGUAUUUGAUUUGGUUGUUAGUCAGAUUAAUUAGUUGAAAUGAUUGGAAGUACUGCAGUAGAUGUUGAAGGCUCUCCUGAUCGGGAUUGCAUAGAGGUGGUACUAUCUAUGUCCCCCGUAGUAGAUGGUAGGGGAUGUGUAGAUGACAGUUGUUAUAGGACCCCAAUUAGGACAGUAAAGACUGUACACACCGUUGUUUCGAGUAACAAGGUAACAGUUGUGUCUUAUGUAGAACCCCCCCAGGAAGGAAUGGUUUUUAAAUCAUGGCAGGAUGUUGAAGCUUAUUACGAGGAAUACGCUGAACAAAAUGGUUUUGGUGUGACCAGGAUUCGGGGCUCAUAUACUAAAGAAAAGGAACGUAGGGCGACUAAAUGGCGUUGUGAAUAGUGAGGUAGACCUGACAUGAGGUCGGUUAGGGUGGCGAAGAAGAGAGCCAAAGAAAUGCAGGACUGUGGUACUGGUGGGGUAUUGGUGGGGUAUUGGUGGUGUAAUUGGAGAGGAUGAGCUGAGCCGUUGUAAGCGAAAAUUAAAGAAGUGUGAGUGCAAGGCAAGGAUAUAUGCAAGUGUGAAUGGGGAGGGUGAGUGGGUGCUUAAGACUGUAGUGUUAGAACAUAAACACUUGAUAAACCCGAGUUUUGCAAAACUGGUUAAGGAGUACAGAAUGAAGAAUUACUCAUAUACUGUUAGGAAGAGGUUAAUGAAUUAUUAUGAUUAGGGUGUUCAGUUAAACAAAUCCAUGGAUGUCUUGGGAUUGAAAUGGAAGAAAACAUGUCUAUGACUGUGAAAUAUUUACAACACGAGGUUUAUAAGGAGCGUAAAUCUAAGAUGCAAGGGGGUGAUUCAGUUGCCAUGAUGUCAUAUUUUGAGUAUAUGAUGGUCGAUAAUCAAAAAAAUUUCCAUGCAAAUAGGGUUGAUGAUGAUGGUCGGUUGAAAGAUGUUCUGUGGGUUGAUGCUCAUAGUCGGGCUGCGUACGAGUGCAUUGGUGAUAUAGUUUGUUUUGAUGUCACCUACCUUACUAACGAGUACGAAUUGCGCUUUCUUAAUUUUGUGGGGGUGAACCACCAUGGGCAAUCUCUUUUGCUUGGCUAUGCACUUGUUUCUCACGAGGACACAGAAACUUUACGUUGGGUAUUCCGCCAAUGGCUGACCUGCAUGGGCGGCAAAGCACCAGUAGGAUUUCUUACCGAUCAAGCAACUGCUAUACGUAAACCUUUGGCUAAAGUCAUGCCUAAUACUAGGCACAGGUAGUGUAUUUGGCAUAUCCCAUCCAAAUUUCAUGAUAAGUUGGAAAAAUUACCUUUGUAUAACGAGUUUAAGAACAAGCUAAAAUUUGUUGUAUAUGAGAGUUUUACUACUGAUGAGUUUAAGAAGAACUGGAGUGCCUCAAUCAAGCAGUACAAUCUUGAAAGUAAUGAGUGGUUGUCUGGUUUGUAUGAAGAAAGGCACAUGUAGGUGCCUUCAUUUAUGAACGAGUUUUUUUGGGCAGGCAUGAAAACGACACAGAGAGUGGAGAGCAUAAAUAGCUUCUAUGAUGGAUUUGUUAACCAGAAAACCAAGUUGUUUGAGUUCCCAAGGCAAUAUACUCGAGCUUUGACGAAGCGUGUGAAAGAUGAAGUGGAUGCUAAUGAUAACUGCUCCAAAUAUAUUAGGCGGUUGAUUAGUGGAUUUAAGUUGGAGACGGUCUUUCAAAGGCUAUACACUGACAGAAAAUUUCAAGAGGCUCAAACAAAGUUAGAAUGGUUGAUGUAUUGUUAUUGCCGUGAUGAACGUAGGUUAUCUGAUACCGUUGUGCAAUACCUACUUGAGGAUCACGUGUGGAUUGUAUCACCUGGCCAUAGUCAUGAGAUACUCACUGAUCGAAGACGGUUUUACCGCGUUACCUUUGACACCGUCACCAAAGAAGUAGAGUGUGAUUGUCGUAAGUCGAGACAUUCGACAUAAUGUGUAAGCACAGUAUGCGUAUUCUAGAUCAAAAUCUGGUGUUUGACAUCCCUCAAAAAUAUAUCCUUACUCGAUGGCGCAAGGACAUUGUGCGAAGACACAUGAGGGUUAAAGUUCCCUAUCAUGACCCUUCCCUUUCUGUGCCAGUUAAAAGGUUUAACAAGAUGCUGACUGCCUUUGAGCCAAUUUCCGACAUAGCUUCUAUAGUUGACAAUGCAGCCGUUGAGAUUGUUCUGCAGACUCUUGCGAAAUUGAAGGCUCAAGUCCAGAAGCUAAAAAAGAAGAAAGAUGAACUCAAUCCACUUCCAGAAGUUGUUGCUUUCCCUAGUGGACCCGAUCCUUCGCAACCAAAGUCAGCAGAUGCAGCUUUUACAAUGUCUUCUGUAAGAAAACCAGCUAGUGAAGAGAAGGAUGUUGAGGAUGCCGCCUUAGAGGAGGAUGAUGAUGAUGCAGGGGAUGAUCAUUAUAUGUUGGAUGCCAUUGAGCACCCUAUAGUUGAUCUCUCAGCAGACGAUGAUUCAAACCAACCAGGAUUUCUUGAUGCAUUCAAUGCAUCUGACAAGUAGAGUACUCCUACUGGCAUUGACCUUGUCAUAACAAAGAAACGCAGAGGACACCCACCUAAGGCGGUUGUUGCGAGGAUCCAAAAUGGUACUGUUGCAGACCCUGUUCCUAACCAAUCAGGUGUUGAGGACCCAAACCAACUCCUAGGGUCUGAAGAAGCCACUGCAGUGAAAUCACUUGCCAAUCAAAACCUCACACCUGUUCAUGAUCCUGUUAAACCACAGAAGCGUAGGGGACGGCCACGAAAGGCCUUGGUUGGUGACUACGCCACUACUGUUCACCAUUCCACACCUGAUAUUUCAGCAAAUAUUUCUCCAUCUCAACCAUACCAAUCAUGUAGUGUUAGAAAAGCUAUCUCAACUAAAAAUCCACCAACUAUUCUUGACCCAAUUAAACUAAAAAAGCGUAGAGGAAGGCCAAAGGGUAGCCGCAACAAAACAUUGGCGGAGAAAGGGUAUAAGAAGGACGGACCAAAGGAGAGACACACGAUCCUGCCACUCAAUUUAUACUGGACACCUUCUACCCAGCCUCAUUCAAUGGCUUAUCUAUGUCCAAAAGAAGAUGCCUACUGUCUGAUCAUGUGAAUAAAAAUGAUCCCUUUCACCUGGAGCUGCAGCAAUGGGAGACUGACUUUCAGCCGGAGAUUCAAGCAAGUCGGUUGAGUUUUAAUGUAAUAUAGGUCUAGAUCAGUUUGUACAUCUACAGGUUUCCCUUUGCGUUUGUAUUUGCCUUGUAGACUGUGGUUAAUUUCACCUGCAUGGUGUUCUACAUCUAAUUACUUUUAGUACUGAUGGUAUUACGUACGAAUUAUGAUUUGACUUCUUAUUA